rnacentral:rRNA from 1 species
AGAGUUUGAUCCUGGCUCAGAUUGAACGCUGGCGGCAGGCCUAACACAUGCAAGUCGAACGGUAACAGGAAGCAGCUUGCUGCUUCGCUGACGAGUGGCGGACGGGUGAGUAAUGUCUGGGAAACUGCCUGAUGGAGGGGGAUAACUACUGGAAACGGUAGCUAAUACCGCAUAACGUCGCAAGACCAAAGAGGGGGACCUUAGGGCCUCUUGCCAUCGGAUGUGCCCAGAUGGGAUUAGCUAGUAGGUGGGGUAACGGCUCACCUAGGCGACGAUCCCUAGCUGGUCUGAGAAGAUGACCAGCCACACUGGAACUGAGACACGGUCCAGACUCCUACGGGAGGCAGCAGUGGGGAAUAUUGCACAAUGGGCGCAAGCCUGAUGCAGCCAUGCCGCGUGUAUGAAGAAGGCCUUCGGGUUGUAAAGUACUUUCAGCGGGGAGGAAGGGAGUAAAGUUAAUACCUUUGCUCAUUGACGUUACCCGCAGAAGAAGCACCGGCUAACUCCGUGCCAGCAGCCGCGGUAA